rnacentral:rRNA from 1 species
AUUGAACGCUGGCGGCAUGCCUUACACAUGCAAGUCGAACGGCAGCACGGGAGCUUGCUCCUGGUGGCGAGUGGCGAACGGGUGAGUAAUACAUCGGAACGUACCCUGAAGUGGGGGAUAACGUAGCGAAAGUUACGCUAAUACCGCAUAUUCUGUGAGCAGGAAAGAGGGGGAUCGCAAGACCUCUUGCUUUAGGAGCGGCCGAUGUCGGAUUAGCUGGUUGGUGAGGUAAAGGCUCACCAAGGCGACGAUCCGUAGCGGGUCUGAGAGGAUGAUCCGCCACACUGGGACUGAGACACGGCCCAGACUCCUACGGGAGGCAGCAGUGGGGAAUUUUGGAC